UUAAGUUCAGCGGGUAAUCCCACCUGAUUUGAGGUCACAAUGGUCAUUAAAGUUAGCCACAGAGGACUAAGUCUCGCAAAGGAGACGGUUAGAAGCUAAGACUUUCACCCGGUUCCUAACCAACGGCGUAGAUAAUUAUCACACCAGGAGGUAUUGUCAGAACAGUUACUUGCCCCAAAGCUAAUGCAUUUCAGAGGAGC
rnacentral:misc_RNA from 1 species